rnacentral:rRNA from 1 species
GACGAACGCUGGCGGCGUGCUUAACACAUGCAAGUCGAACGGAAAGGCCCUGCUUUUGUGGGGUGCUCGAGUGGCGAACGGGUGAGUAACACGUGAGUAACCUGCCCUUGACUUUGGGAUAACUUCAGGAAACUGGGGCUAAUACCGGAUAGGAGCUCCUGCUGCAUGGUGGGGGUUGGAAAGUUUCGGCGGUUGGGGAUGGACUCGCGGCUUAUCAGCUUGUUGGUGGGGUAGUGGCUUACCAAGGCUUUGACGGGUAGCCGGCCUGAGAGGGUGACCGGCCACAUUGGGACUGAGAUACGGCCCAGACUCCUACGGGAGGCAGCAGUGGGGAAUAUUGCACAAUGGGCGGAAGCCUGAUGCAGCAACGCCGCGUGCGGGAUGACGGCCUUCGGGUUGUAAACCGCUUUCGCCUGUGACGAAGCGAGAGUGACGGUAAUGGGUGAAGAAGCACCGGCUAACUACGUG